AACGAACGCUGGCGGCAUGCCUAACACAUGCAAGUCGAACGAGACCUUCGGGUCUAGUGGCGCACGGGUGCGUAACGCGUGGGAAUCUGCCCUUGGGUUCGGAAUAACAGCGAGAAAUUGCUGCUAAUACCGGAUGAUGACGUAAGUCCAAAGAUUUAUCGCCCAAGGAUGAGCCCGCGUAGGAUUAGCUAGUUGGUGAGGUAAAGGCUCACCAAGGCGACGAUCCUUAGCUGGUCUGAGAGGAUGAUCAGCCACACUGGGACUGAGACACGGCCCAGACUCCUACGGGAGGCAGCAGUGGGGAAUAUUGGACAAUGGGCGAAAGCCUGAUCCAGCAAUGCCGCGUGAGUGAUGAAGGCCUUAGGGUUGUAAAGCUCUUUACCCGGGAUGAUAAUGACAGUACCGGGAGAAUAAGACUCCGGCUAACUCCGUGCCAGCAGCCGCGGUAAU
rnacentral:rRNA from 1 species